GUGGUUUUCACCGCUUCUUCCCUCUCCCUCUCCGCCUCAUCCGGUAGAAAUUCGUUUCUGUCGCUCACAAUUCGCUAAAGAAAAUUCUAAACCUCAAACAAACAAAUCGCAUAAAACCUCAAACCCAACAAAAGUAAUGAAAUAAUCAGCAAAAGUAAUGAAAAUGUUACGUGUUAGCAAUCAAAGCAACCAACAUAUGACAUAAACUAAUAGCCUAUCGGAAUUGUAGCUACAAAUCUCCAUCAAAAUUCUUGAGCGGAACCAUCAAAGUUGCUAUUCCUCAUAAGACAAUGUUGCUGAGAACGAAACACAGCGUUGCCCACUCGUCCUCCUUUGUCUUGCCAUGCGUCGAUCAUCCUGGAUAGGUCUUCUUCAAUUGGAUCUCUCCAAAAUUCUUUCGGUUUCCAUUUGCUUCUCUCAGCCUUCCUCUCUCUCUCUCUCUCUCUCUCUCAUCGCUACUCACUCUCGCUUUUCCGAUGAAUUUCCAGUCAAAAUUGGGCACGAUGCGUCCCCAAAUCACCACCAAUGGAAGGUAGUUGGAGAAUCGUGGGUUCGGGAGUUCACUAAAAUCGCUUCGAAUUUGCUUUAGUUUUGAUCAGAAGAGAAGGCAGAGGCAGCUAGUGCUGCUCUUGCUGUGACCCAGGAAGUUCUCGUGUUCGUCAACAAUAUCUCUAUGCAUCCGGAGACUUGGCUCAAUUUUCGACGGCGAUGAAGACUCAGACGCUUAUGAAAAAUUAUGACUAAUUUUUGCUGGAUUCUUUAUUUGGGUGAUCAAAUUUGUAACAGAGGACCCACAGAGAAAAAAGAGUAAAUAUCAAGAGUGCAGAAUCAUUGAAGGUCAGCACCAAACAAGUUGGGUAACUCCUACUUCAUACUAGAAGCCGCUAUAUUUUGAACAAUUGUUUAAAUGUAGAAUGCUAACCUGUUUUUUUGUGUAAAUAUAAUUUAGCUACCAGCUACUGUUCAGUGGUAAAAAAAACUACAAUUUUUGGAGUACAUCGGUAAAAUAAGAGCAGUUAUAUUUUGAACAACUCUUAAUACGUAUAUAGUAUCAGUGUAGAUGGUUAAGUUAUCAACAACUACUAUAUGGUUUUAUGUGAAUACUUGGUACAUGUUUUGUAUAAAUAGUUUCUACAUAUCCAUAUACCAACACUUAAUCCCUUCUUUGCAUACUGUACUUAUAAUUCGCUUGACACUCCCGCGGCAAUGCACGGGCUAAAUCUCUAGUAUCCUCUAAGCAUGCAUGUUGGUUGGAGUCAAAUGCAAAAUCAUAGAAUCAGAAAUUAAGGUAAUCUAUAUACAUUUCAUUUGAAGUUUCCUUUUAUAGAAUUUGCUUCACCGGUGCAGAUAAUGUUAUAACUGUUUUAAUGGUUUGAUGGAUGAUUCAGAACUGCUUCUUUGUAUGCAGAUUACCAUAUGUAUUUGAGAGCACAGCUGAUGAAAAUUUUACCGAUCGCAAAUGAUAAAUGUUACGAGCAUGGGAAAGGCAUAACCAAUAUUAAAUCAGCUUUUCAGGUAUGCAUGGAUUCCAGAUUCAAGCCAUCACUUCCGUUUAGUAUGUUGUUUAUCAAUUUGUGAUCAUAACACCAUCAGGCAGUGUUACUAUUGUGAAUGUUAUGUGAGAAAGCAAAGAAAAUUCUAAUGGGAGAAAGCAAAGUUAAGGUGAAGAUUUUGGUUUGUCCUUUAGCUUUCAAUAAGUUCAAUGCUAAUUAGGGGUUUUUCUUCAUAUGUUUUCUUUCGUGUUUCAGCUUCGAUUUCACUCAAUUUUAUGCACUUGCUGAACACCUUCUUUGUUUUACAAAAUGUUUGUAUAUUCCCAAAUAGUUAUACGAAGUACCAACACUACUUAGAUCACACUGAUAGUACUUGGACCUGAAAAAAUAAUGGUCAAACAGAUCUUUUCUCAAAGUCAAAUCUCAGUUGUACAAAUGACUGAUUUUUUAAAUGUGUUGUUAACAUUUGAUCGUUUUAUAGUUUAUUAAAUUCCAGAUUCUGAACCCUGAUAUGAUUUUGGUGGUUGUAAAUUUUUCUACUUAUUAAGGCUUCAAAAAAUAAAUAUGUGGUUUGAUAUGUUGAAUUAUCCAUUAUGUAGAUUUGGGAUUUUGGAAGUAAUACUAACUGGAAUUAAACAGGUUGCUUAAUUGGUGGACAGAUUAAGCCACUGUGAGAAAGUGAGGUGCCAUGUGUUAUAGUUCUAUACUAAAUUGCAGGAAAAGAUACAUGCAAAGGAGAUGGAGAAUAAUUUGCAAGCCAGGAAACUCUAGAAGCUGAGAUUAGAAUGUUCAGGAAGAAACUGACAUUUAAAGAACUCCAAUGCCAAUCUUCUAUCAGGAGCCUCCACCUCCUAAAGCGGACCUGAAGAAGAUACCAGCAACAAGAGCCAAUCUCCCAAGCUCGGACGUAAGAAGAGCUUACUUCCUGCAGUUUCUGAAGCAAACCGUAAUAUCAAUGGUCAGUCUAGCAGGUUUAGUCUGGAUGAGAAAGUACCUCAGAACACUGCUAGAGGGCCUUCUCCUGUGUAUCCAAAGAAGCCACAACGGAAGUCUCUUCCUAGACUCCCGAACUUUUGUUGCGGAGAAUUGUUGCUGAAAUUGGCGUCUGGGAGGGAAUACUGCGUCAAGAUGAUCUUGGAGGCCGUCCAGGGAGAGCAUUUGUCAGGUCAUUAUUUGAGGAUGUAAUAUUACCUAUUCAGAAAUUUAAUUUGAAAACUAAAUAUCAUAAGCAAACAAUUAUUUUAAAGUAUUCGAAAUUUAAUUUAAAAUGUGCAGAAAA